UACGAAGGGGGCUAGCGUUGCUCGGAAUGACUGGGCGUAAAGGGCGCGUAGGCGGUUCAUACAGUCAGAUGUGAAAUUCCUGGGCUCAACCUGGGGGCUGCAUUUGGGACUGCAAGGCUGGAGUGCGGCAGAGGAGACUGGAAUUCCUGGUGUAGCAGUGAAAUGCGUAGAUAUCAGGAGGAACACCGAUGGCGAAGGCAGGUCUCUGGGCUGACACUGACGCUCAUGCACGAAAGCGUGGGGAGCAAACAGG
rnacentral:rRNA from 1 species